rnacentral:rRNA from 1 species
GAUGAACGCUGGCGGCGUGCCUAAUACAUGCAAGUCGAGCGAACAGACGAGGAGCUUGCUCCUCUGACGUUAGCGGCGGACGGGUGAGUAACACGUGGAUAACCUACCUAUAAGACUGGGAUAACUUCGGGAAACCGGAGCUAAUACCGGAUAAUAUAUUGAACCGCAUGGUUCAAUAGUGAAAGACGGUUUUGCUGUCACUUAUAGAUGGAUCCGCGCCGCAUUAGCUAGUUGGUAAGGUAACGGCAUACAAAGGCAACGAUGCGUAGCCGACCUGAGAGGGUGAUCGGCCACACUGGAACUGAGACACGGUCCAGACUCCUACGGGAGGCAGCAGUAGGGAAUCUUCCGCAAUGGGCGAAGGCUGGACGGAGCAACGCCGCGGGAGUGAUGAAGGUCUUCGGAUCGUAAAACUCUGUUAUUAGGGAAGAACAAAUGUGUAAGUAACUAUGCACGUCUUGACGGUACCUAAUCAGAAAGCCACGGCUAACUACGUG